CUCUUGUCGCCGGUGCGUUGUGCCUGCAUCUUUGCUCCAGCUAAGCCAGCUCCUCUAGGCCUCUGGCUGCCCACCGCAGUGGGCUCUGGACUGGACUCUGGACCAUGCGUUGCUGGGUUUGCUGCUGUGAUGAUGGAGGUGCUGCUUUUGUCUGUCUGAUGUUUAUACUUUGUGGGUGUGGAGUGUGCUAGGAACAUCUCAUAUGUGCCAGGAACUGGCUCUUUGGAAAAGUCAGUCCAGGUUAGAAACAUAGACUGUGGCCGGGCAUAGUGGCUCACGCCUAUAAUCCCAGCACUUUGGGAAGCCAAGGUGGGCAGAUCUCUUGACUUGAGGUCAGGAGUUCGAGACCGGCCUGGCCAACAUUGUGAAACCCCAUCUCUACUAAAAAUACAAAAAUUAGCCAGGCAUGGUGGUGCAUGCCUGUAGUUCCAGCUAUCCGGGAGGCUGAGGCACGGGAAUUGCUUGAACCCUGGAGACAGAGGUUGCAGUGAGCCAAGAUCACGCCACUGCACUCCAGGACUGUAUCAAGUUCACUCCAAAAGUGGAGAAGAGCCAUCUGGACUGCAACUGCCACCAAGGGAAGCCACACUUCAGCCAAGUGGGGCCCUCCACCUAAGGCCGAGCAUGGUAAGACACUGCAGAGGAAGGGGUCUUGACUUGAAUUCAUCUGGGCUUUGCCUUAGAGGGAGAAAGGUAUUGCAUUUUUGGACUUCAAUCAUGGGGGCUCCUGUUUACCUUGCAGCUGUCUUAUGUUGCAGGUUUUGAUGUGGUUCUCAAUGUUCAAACCCCACUGGGAGUUAUAUUACACAGUGUCGUUUGACCUAAUUUAAGAUAGGAAAUGGAAUAAGAAAUGAAUUUUCUUCCUAGGUGUCACACAGCUGUAGCCGUUAGGAAUGUCUCUGGAUGCAAUGAAUAGAAAAUCUACAUAUCAGAGGCUGAAGCAAUAAGAGGCAGCAGCGUGGGUAUGGGCUAUUCUGGGUUUGGGGAAAUAGUUCAGAGAUGUUAUCCGGGAGCCAAGUCCACUUUUAUUGGCCUUUUAUUGGGAAGAAAGGAGUGUUCCUCUCAUCAAGAAGUAAAGUGUUUCCCAGAAGCACCCCCUCCUCCUCACAUUUCUUCACAUCUCUUUGGCUAGAACCGCAUCACACGGCCACCCCCAGUUGCAACAGAGACUGGGAAGGUGGAGUAUCAGAUGGAAAUCCUAUUGUCAGGACCCAGGCUGAGCAUGCUGCCUCCCCACACGAAACCAGACUUCUGUUAGCAAGAAAGAUACAAGAUCGCCGGCCACUAUGGUUAUUGACAUGUUGUGCUGUCAUCUUCCAAAAACUGACGAGGGCCAGGUGCGGUGGCACACACCUGUAAUCCCAACAUCCUGGAGGCUGAGGCAAGAGGAUCACUUGAGGCCAGGACUUUGAGACUAGCUUGGGCAACAUAGCGAGACCCCCAUCUCUACAAAAAAUAAAAAUAAAAAUUUUAAUAAAAAAAAU
rnacentral:lncRNA from 10 species